rnacentral:rRNA from 1 species
GACGAACGCUGGCGGCGUGCUUAACACAUGCAAGUCGAACGGAAAGGCCCUGCUUUUGUGGGGUGCUCGAGUGGCGAACGGGUGAGUAACACGUGAGUAACCUGCCCUUGACUUUGGGAUAACUUCAGGAAACUGGGGCUAAUACCGGAUAGGAUCUCCUGCUGCAUGGUGGGGGUUGGAAAGUUUCGGCGGUUGGGGAUGGACUCGCGGCUUAUCAGCUUGUUGGUGGGGUAGUGGCUUACCAAGGCUUUGACGGGUAGCCGGCCUGAGAGGGUGACCGGCCACAUUGGGACUGAGAUACGGCGCAGACUCCUACGGGAGGCAGCAGUGGGGAAUAUUGCACAAUGGGCGGAAGCCUGAUGCAGCAACGCCGCGUGCGGGAUGACGGCCUUCGGGUUGUAAACCGCUUUAGCCUGUGACGAAGCGUGAGUGACGGUAAUGGGUAAAGAAGCACCGGCUAACUACGUG